rnacentral:lncRNA from 10 species
GGGGGCCAAACUAAAUACUCGGUGCAGCAACCCUCGCCUGGGUCAGGUCAAUCGGCUGCCAGCCGGAUUGGCCGGCGUAUCAUUCCAGAAUGUACUGUUUGUUCUGUGGGGUUUAGGAGUUCUACAGUGGUUCUGCCCCAUCUUUCUAAAAAUACAAUACAGUGUUUCACUAUGUUACCCAGGCUGGUCUUGAACUCCUGGGCUCAAGUGAUCCUCCCACUUUGGCCUCUCAAAGCACUGGGAUUACAGGGUCUUACUCUGUCGCCCAGGCUGGAGUACAGUGGUGUGAUAUCGGCUCACUGCAACCUCUACCUACCUGGUUCAAGUGAUUCUCCUGCCUCAGCCUCCCGAGUAGCUGGGACUACGGGGUCACCAAGGAAGCCAGAGUGGAGGCUGCAGGGAAUAUGGAUUUAAAUGAAUUUUGGCUGUACCAUCAAGCAGUCUGAUCACUGAGGAAAUAUCAAAAGCUUCACCCGAGUGACUCAUCACCCAAAUUCAACAGAGACUUGCCAAAGAAGCUGCUUAUUUCACAGAAGGAUGGUGCUGGCUGAAAGAUACUUCCUUGAAACUGAGAGAUUGCUUCCUUAGACAGGUCUCCUUGAAGAGAAUCCCACUCUGUCAGCCCGGCUGGAGUGCAAUGGCGCAGUCUUGGCUCGCUGCAACAUCUACCUCCCAGGUUCAAGUGAUUCUCCUGCCUCAGCCUCCCAAGUAGCUAGGAUUACAGGCUUGCACCACCACACCUGGCUAACUUUUUGUGUUUUUAGUAGAGACGGGCUUUCCCUAUGUUGGCCAGACUGGUCUCAAACUACUGGCCUCAAGUGAUUUACCCACCUUGGCCUCCCAAAUUUCUGGGAUUACAGGCAUGAGCCACCGAGCGCAGUCCUGACUCUGCUCUUGGGAUACCUGAGAGUACUGUGUUAUAUGAAUAUCUGAUCUACCUAUGGAUUCAGCCGACCUAAAGUUGUUGAAUUCUUAAGCCACCACCCCCUUCUCACCAGGCGCUUCUUGCCGCUGCCAUGAGAAGAAGGAUGUUUGCUUCCCCCUCUGCCAUGAUUGUUAAGUUUCCUGAGGCCUCCUGAGCCAUGCUGAACUGUGAGUCAAUUAAACCAUUUUCCUUUAUAAAUUACCCAGUCCUGGGUAUAUCUUUAUUAGCAGUGUGAGAAGGGACUAAUAAGGAACCUGCAGUGGAC